GCUGUACAGAGUGCAAAGUUCAAUCUAGACUGUGAGACAAUCAAGGCAUCCCAUUGGGUGGUUGUUUAUAGGCUGGGAAUCACCACUGUGACGUAAAACAUAAUUUGCAUUUCUUUGUAGAGGCGUCAGAAGCUGCAGCGUUGCUGAGGACCACAUGUCAAUCACCACAGAGCAGAGGAGCAAGGUCCUGGAUGCAGGCUUGAAACAAUGGCAACAUACCAACAGCUACUGUACCAGACUCGACGUGAGAUAAUGUUGCCAUACAAGUGGACAGUUUGUAAUUGUGUCAUUGUAAUGUCAUUUUAUUUAUCAUGUAUUUUGAUGAUGUGUGGCUAAAUGAAAAUAAAGAUCAGACAAAAGCAGAAAA